GCAAGAUGGUGGUGUUCCAGUCUUUCUCCCGUGAUCCCAGGGCCUUCCUUUCAUCAGUGUUCAAGAUCCAGACGUUCAGGAGGAUUUCACCGGCAGCUGAGUUAUCCGCAGAGGUGUCUUUGUGUCCUUAACAAAUGAACCAGGGCCAGGUUGCUGGGGCAUCAGGCUAAGCCAAGCACCCCAGACAUCACUCUCCCCAGCAACCCUUUCCAGCUCCUCCUGGUGGACCCCAAGGCGUUCUCAGGCCAGACGAGAUAUGUAAUCCCUCCAGCGUGUUCUGGGUCUGUCCCAAGGCCUCCUACCAGUGGGACAUGCCCAGAAAACCUCUAACGGGAGAUGCUCAGGGUGCACCCGGAUCAGAUGCCUGAACCACCUCAACUGACCCCUCUCAAUGCGAAGGAGCAUCGGCUCUACUCCGAG